UACGUAGGGUGCGAGCGUUGUCCGGAAUCAUUGGGCGUAAAGAGCGUGUAGGCGGCUCGGUAAGUCCGCUGUAAAAGUCAAAGGCUCAACCUUUGAAUGUCAGUGGAUACUGCCGGGCUAGAGUCCGGAAGAGGCGAGUGGAACUCCUGGUGUAGCGGUGGAAUGCGCAGAUAUCAGGAAGAACACCAACGGCGAAGGCAGCUCGCUGGGACGGUACUGACGCUGAGACGCGAAAGCGUGGGGAGCAAACAGGAUUAGAACC
rnacentral:rRNA from 1 species